UCAACACUACCACUUCACCUCUCGCUCCUUCAAGAGGAUUUUUUAAAUAUUGUAAAUUUUCGCAACAACCAAGAUAUGAAAUAAUAACUUCUCAUCCUCGGAGUGCUCCUGUGAUAGCUCGGCUCAUCUAUCUACACCAUCUACGCCUCUAGGCUACAGCCAUGAACUAUUCAAUACUGCAGAGAGCUUCAACUGCCACUCUUUGGUGUUCUUGUUGUCGGUGAAUCUGUCAGUGAACCAGGAGAACUACGUACUGCCCAUCUGCAUACCCAGGACCAACCAUUUGUAAUUCAAUCAAGUCUAUAUUGUAAUUCGUAUUAUUAUUAAUGAUAAUAGCAGAAUAUAUGGUUAAUGUUA